rnacentral:rRNA from 1 species
UGGAUUUGAUCUAUUUCUAGUGGCGGACGGGUGAGUAACGCGUGGGUAACCUGCCUUAUACAGGGGGAUAACAGUCAGAAAUGGCUGCUAAUACCGCAUAAGCGCACAGAGCUGCAUGGCUCAGUGUGAAAAACUCCGGUGGUAUAAGAUGGGCCCGCGUCUGAUUAGCUGGUUGGCAGGGUAACGGCCUACCAAGGCGACGAUCCAUAGCCGGCCUGAGAGGGUGAACGGCCACAUUGGGACUGAGACACGGCCCAGACUCC